ACAUACGACCAUACCCAUUGGAAAACUCGGGAUCCCGUCCGCUCUCCCAUAGAUAAGCCAGUGAGGGCCGGAUGAGUAGUUGGGUCGGUGACGACCAGCGAAUACCUGGUGUUAUAUGUU
rfam:Colletotrichum orbiculare MAFF 240422 contig08078, whole genome shotgun sequence.